CUGCAGUGAUGCACAUGAAUUUCUUCACCUGACAAUAAAUGAAGUCUUAAUCUGAGCUUUUUAACACUGAGCAGC